rnacentral:rRNA from 1 species
UACGAAGGGGGCUAGCGUUGCUCGGAAUCACUGGGCGUAAAGGGUGCGUAGGCGGGUCUUUAAGUCAGGGGUGAAUCCUGGAGCUCAACUCCAGAACUGCCUUUGAUACUGAGGAUCUUGAGUUCGGGAGAGGUGAGUGGAACUGCGAGUGUAGAGGUGAAAUUCGUAGAUAUCGUGAGGAAGGCCAGUGGCGAAGGCGGAUCUCUGGACAGUUCCUGACGCUGAGGCACGAAGGCCAGGGGAGCAAACGGG